UUUCCGACAAUGCGAUCUAGGCGUUUCUAUCGCUGAGGUAGUAUUGUUUGAAAGAU
rnacentral:pre_miRNA from 1 species